GCCGAAUCCAAACCGGUGAUAGACUUCAUAUCCGAGGUUGUACACCGUUAUGGCAUCCCCCACAGCAUCAUCACUGAUAACGGCAUGAACUUCACUGCCGACGAGAUAAAACUCUGGUGCAAAAACAUGGGCAUUAAGCUCGAUUAUGCUUCCGUCUCUCACCCACAAACUAACGGUCAAGUCGAGCGAGCAAAUGGUCUUAUCAUGAGUGGCAUCAAACCCAGAUUAGUGCAGUCCCUAAAGGAAUCUAACACGCACUGGGUAGAGGAGCUCGACUCCGUACUCUGGGGGUUGCGGACAACGCCUUAUCGCACUACUGGAUACACACCCUUUUUAUGGUGUACGGCGCAGAGGCGGUUCUGCCCUGCGAGAUAA
rnacentral:rRNA from 1 species